UUACGUGACGCUAGUUGUUCUCCAGCGGGUGUGCUGUGCAGUGCUCGUUAUGUAACACAUCGCAUUCUCGUGUUCUGUACACGUAAGCAGUUCUGAAUUAUUUCUACCUAUGAAUGUGAUUUUCUUCGAUAGAUAUUUACCGUUUCACUUCUUUUAAAAAUGAAUGCUCAUUAUCAUAACUGAAACCGAUUUUUCCAUUUAUAUUAUUGGAGAUAAUUUGUGUUCGAAAUUUUGCGUGUAGCUUAUGUCAGUUAUAUUUAGUGCUGCCUUUACUUGACAGAAUCCAAAUAUAAUCCAGCGUCAGAGUUGGGAACGUAAUGUAAAUAUUUCGAUAUUCAGUGGUUUCUUUAAAGCACCUCUAUUUCAGCCAGUGAAACUAAGUUGGUUACGAUUUUCGAAUGGUGAAACAUCAAAUUUUAAGGUAAUUUACAAGGAAUUUUAUUUAGCCUUCGGAAGUAAUGAAUAUCUCUGAAAAUGCUUUACAUUGUGGAAGGUGGAUUGUUUUCAGUCCCAUUCAACAUCAACUGUUAUGAACAAUAAUAUGGCUAAAAUAUCUUUAAAGUAAAAUAAUUUGAACACAACAGCUGCUUCUAGGUUUUCUUCGGAUCGAUCUAUGACGUCCACUACAAGACUCUAGUAUUUAUGCCUGUACAUCCUUGUAUCCAUACCUGGAUGGACUCCAGGCAAUCCAUCGCCAGAAGAGAUUGUGGAUGCGAACAUAGCUUCAUCGAUGAAAUUCCCCUACCUCUUCCGCCCCCUGAAGAAUGCGUUCAUCCGUAUGAUCAUCCUGUUUUCACGCGGCAUCGCCGUUGGAAGGAGCAAGACGGGGCUUGGAUGGGACUGAGCUCUGUAGCUAUAACACUGAUCGCUAUUUUUAUCAUAGGCUUUAUCGUCUUAUCUCCACUCCUGCACUAUUUGAUGUAGCCAGAACAUCGUGUGACGGCUCAUGUAAUGUAUGAGAUUCCUUGUGUAUGCCUCCGACUGAAUGGCUUUACUUGUUAAAAAUUCAACAUUGUUCUAAAGUAAUGAGUAAUGACUACACAUUUUAAAAUCAUCGAAAAUCUUUCAAGCUCUAAUCUUAGCGUAAUAUAGUUGAUGAUGGCCACCAAUGCAGCAUUCUGCUGCUUGUGAGAUUAUAAACUACUGAUAGUCUCACCUCAAUAAGUGAAACGUUGGGUAUGAUGAUGAGAAGAGGAUGAUCGAUCUCCAUCCCUGAGUGCCACGAUUACUUUCUGAUUUUACGCCUAGCUGAACUGAUUCAAAUUAACCUCGUUUCCUGUUGAAAAUCUCCACGCUCAAUAAACUGUGUGAAGCCGUAAAAUUUCCAAUGGAGAAAUAAAUACAAAUAAGGGGGUUACAUCCCUUUAUGGAAAAUAGUGUAGGGUAAAUGCGGAUGAAGAUCCUUUCUUAUGGAAAGAAGAAAUUAUUCUAGAGUAUAAUCCAUACUUAUGGAGAAGAGUGAAGUCUGAUGUUAUAAAAAGAUAUUUCCUGUUAUGAGAAACAGUGAAAUACAAAAACAAAGACAUCAUCGUCUGGAAAGAGCACACGAAAGCUCCAUCUUUGUUCUCACACGUUGUGGUAUUUGUAGAAGAGUGUAUAUUAAACUGUGAUAUUCUCUAUUAUAUCACAAAGAUAAGACAUGUAAGGAUAAUGAUAUUCUUUUACAGCGCUUGUACCUUCAAAAACACUUUUGUGAUUUGUAAGGCGUAAACGAGUCAAAAGAUAUUACUGUGAUCGCUUUGACGACGUUAACUUUUGUAAGAGAGAUAAUGUUGUGAUUUGUAAAUUCAAAUGAUUCAAGAAACAUAAAGUUGAUUUGUACGAGCUAUACACGAUUCAAUAAAUAAUAUUGUGAUUGUGCAAGGUAAAGUAUCUAAAAAAAUAUUAUUGAAAUAUAUUUCCCGUAAACAAGUCAAAAGGUAUUAAACGCAAGCGAGUCAAGAGAUAUAGCUGAGAUUUUUCAACUGUAAACGAGUCAAGAAAGAUUAUUAUACUUUCUAUACUGUUAAUUUAUUAUCAGGAUAUUUUAUUCUAAUAUUUACAUUAUAGACGAUUCAAGAGGUAUUGUUAUGAUUUCUACGACUUAGUCGUGUCAAAAAUAUACCUUUUGUUUUUACUUUACAUAAUAUUUUAUUCCUUAAUAUGAAAAAUACAGUUAACAAGCAUUUCUUCAAGUACUCAAGAAAAUUAGAGGAAUGAAUGUUUCACGUGUUCAUUACAUUUGUAAGUGUUUUUAUUAUCUUGCACGGUUUCACGUGAUCAAUAUUAAGAUACAAUUACUACAAAAGCUAUAAUGAUAAUAACAUAUUCUAAUUUAACGUUUAACCAAAAUGUAUUCCCAUAGUUAAUAUGUUUCUGUAACAUUUAAGGAUACGAAACUUCUGUUUCUAGUUUUAUAGAACAAGACUUAUAGUUUAGAUGAUGGUUCUUUAUUAAUACGCUAGUAUCAAAAUGUAUUUGGGUAAUAAAACUUUGGCAAAUGA